rnacentral:rRNA from 1 species
GAUGAACGCUGGCGGCGUGCCUAAUACAUGCAAGUCGAGCGAACGGACGAGAAGCUUGCUUCUCUGAUGUUAGCGGCGGACGGGUGAGUAACACGUGGACAACCUACCUAUAAGACUGGGAUAACUUCGGGAAACCGGAGCUAAUACCGGAUAAUAUUUUGAACCGCAUGGUUCAAAAGUGAAAGACGGUCUUGCUGUCACUUAUAGAUGGAUCCGCGCUGCAUUAGCUAGUUGGUAAGGUAACGGCUUACCAAGGCAACGAUGCAUAGCCGACCUGAGAGGGUGAUCGGCCACACUGGAACUGAGACACGGUCCAGACUCCUACGGGAGGCAGCAGUAGGGAAUCUUCCGCAAUGGGCGAAAGCCUGACGGAGCAACGCCGCGUGAGUGAUGAAGGUCUUCGGAUCGUAAAACUCUGUUAUUAGGGAAGAACAUAUGUGUAAGUAACUGUGCACAUCUUGACGGUACCUAAUCAGAAAGCCACGGCUAACUACGUGCCAGCAGCCGCGGUAAUACGUAAGUGGCAAGCGUUAUCCGGAAUUAUUGGGCGUAAGCGCGCGUAGCGGUUUUUUAGUCUGAUGUGAAAGCCCACGGCUCAACCGUGGAGGGUCAUUGGAAACUGGAAAACUUGAGUGCAGAAGAGGAAAGUGGAAUUCCAUGUGUAGCGGUGAAAUGCGCAGAGAUAUGGAGGAACACCAGUGGCGAAGGCGACUUUCUGGUCUGUAACUGACGCUGAUGUGCGAAAGCGUGGGGAUCAAACAGGAUUAGAUACCCUGGUAGUCCACGCCGUAAACGAUGAGUGCUAAGUGUUAGGGGGUUUCCGCCCCUUAGUGCUGCAGCUAACGCAUUAAGCACUCCGCCUGGGGAGUACGACCGCAAGGUUGAAACUCAAAGGAAUUGACGGGGACCCGCACAAGCGGUGGAGCAUGUGGUUUAAUUCGAAGCAACGCGAAGAACCUUACCAAAUCUUGACAUCCUUUGACAACUCUAGAGAUAGAGCUUUCCCCUUCGGGGGACAAAGUGACAGGUGGUGCAUGGUUGUCGUCAGCUCGUGUCGUGAGAUGUUGGGUUAAGUCCCGCAACGAGCGCAACCCUUAAGCUUAGUUGCCAUCAUUAAGUUGGGCACUCUAAGUUGACUGCCGGUGACAAACCGGAGGAAGGUGGGGAUGACGUCAAAUCAUCAUGCCCCUUAUGAUUUGGGCUACACACGUGCUACAAUGGACAAUACAAAGGGCAGCGAAACCGUGAGGUCAAGCAAAUCCCAUAAAGUUGUUCUCAGUUCGGAUUGUAGUCUGCAACUCGACUACAUGAAGCUGGAAUCGCUAGUAAUCGUAGAUCAGCAUGCUACGGUGAAUACGUUCCCGGGUCU